AGUGGCGGACGGGUGAGUAACGCGUGAGAAUCUGCCUUGGGGUCGGGGACAACCACUGGAAACGGUGGCUAAUACCGGAUAAGCCGAUUGGUGAAAGAUUUAUUGCCCGAAGAGGAGCUCGCGUCUGAUUAGCUAGUUGGUGAGGUAAGAGCUCACCAAGGCAGCGAUCAGUAGCUGGUCUGAGAGGACGAUCAGCCACACUGGGACGAGACACGGCCCAGACUCCUACGGGAGGCAGCAAUGGGGAAUUUUCCGCAAUGGGCGAAAGCCUGACGGAGCAAGACCGCGUGAGGGAGGAAGGCUCUUGGGUUGUAAACCUCUUUUCUCAGGGAAGAAGCUCUGACGGUACCUGAGGAAUCAGCCUCGGCUAACUCCGUGCCAGCAGCCGCGGUAAUACGGAGGAGGCAAGCGUUAUCCGGAAUUAUUGGGCGUAAAGCGUCCGCAGGUGGCGAUUCAAGUCUGCUGUCAAAGCACGGGGCUUAACUCCGUAAAGGCAGUGGAAACUGAAUAGCUAGAGUGCCGUAGGGGUAGAGGGAAUUCCCGGUGUAGCGGUGAAAUGCGUAGAGAUCGGGAAGAACAUCGGUGGCGAAAGCGCUCUACUGGACGGCAACUGACACUCAGGGACGAAAGCUAGGGGAGCGAAUGGGAUUAGAUACCCC
rnacentral:rRNA from 1 species